AGGAAGAACGUGUAUAUGGUGUUGAAGAAGUGUGAGCCCUUCACCAUGGUCACCUCCUUGGACUCGACCUUGGCCGCGAUGGUCGCCGCCCAUUUCCUCAUCUCCGCAUGUGCAGGUAUCCUGAUCCUUUCAGCGCCUCUCUCUCUGUUGCGGUCACCAAGAUGAAGUUCAACAUCGCCAGCCCCGCCACUGGUUGCCAUAAGAAGAUGGUGAUCGAUGUCAACUACUGUCAAAUUCUGCAAGUCAUUAUCUGUACAUCUGAUCAGGCAACUCUAUUGUUUUCCUUCCAUGUCACAAUUGAUCUUUUGGGUUAAUUAAUUUGCUCCUUGCAAUGUUUAUUCAAGUGUCUGUUAUGAUGUAGAUUGUUGAAGACAUCUUUUGUUAUGAACUUUGAUCAUAUGAAAGCCUGGGUCGUAACUCCUCGGCGUUGUGCUUCUGCAAAUUGGAUUUCGAGAUGGAUUUGAAGGUGGAAAUUGGAGAUGGAAUUGCAACUGGGUUUUCAACACAAUAGAGCUUCCCAGCAUCUGAAGCUUGCAAUCAGCUUUAUGCUCUCAUUCCAUGAAAACAAAUUGGCGGUUUUGACAAGAGUAUUAGCCAAGGCUUGUGGUGGUGCACAUUGGGUAAAAGUGCCUGUAUAUACAGCAGGGACUGACACCAAACCUUCACAAAUAGCUAGGCAAGGUUUAGAGGAGGCCAAAAAGAAGAACAUAGAUGUAGUAAUAAUGGAUACUGCUGGAAGGCUUCAGAUCGACAAAGUACUGAUAGAUGAGUUGAAAGAAGUAAAGCGGGAAUUGAACCCCACAGAAACUUUACUUGUUGUGGAUGCAAUGACUGGCCAGGAAGCUGCAGCCCUGGUCACAACAUUCAAUGUAGAGAUUGGGAUUGCUGGCACUAUUUUAACAAAGCUGGAUGGAGAUUCUAGAGGUGGAGCAGCUUAGAGUGUUAAAGAGGUGUAAAGCAAGGACAGCAGCUACAGUCAAAGUUCCAGAGUUUCAAUUUGAGGUGAGAAGGAAUUAUAGAGACCACAUACCUUCAAGAAGAAGUCAAUGAAGUCCAUGAUGGGAAGAAUUCGUUAGCGAUAAGUAUCUUUAGACUUUUACAAUGUGGAUCUUCAUCAAUUCUGUGAUUUAACUCUGUACCUAGUGAAACUUCUUUAAUUUGUAGCAAAAUUUACCUUUUCCAUUACAAGUA